AUUGAACGCUGGCGGCAGGCUUAACACAUGCAAGUCGAGCGGGGGAAGGUAGCUUGCUACCGGACCUAGCGGCGGAUGGGUGAGUAAUGCUUAGGAAUCUGCCUAUUAGUGGGGGACAACAUCUCGAAAGGGAUGCUAAUACCGCAUAUGUCCUACGGGAGAAAGCAGGGGAUCUUCGGACCUUGCGCUAAUAGAUGAGCCUAAGUCGGAUUAGCUAGUUGGUGGGGUAAAGGCCUACCAAGGCGACGAUCUGUAGCGGGUCUGAGAGGAUGAUCCGCCACACUGGGGCGGAGACACGGCCCAGACUCCUGCGGGGGGCAGCAGUGGGGAAUAUUGGACAAUGGGGGGAACCCUGAUCCAGCCAUGCCGCGUGUGUGAAGAAGGCCUUAUGGUUGUAAAGCACUUUAAGCGAGGAGGAGGCUCUUUUGGUUAAUACCCAAGAUGAGUGGACGUUACUCGCAGAAUAAGCACCGGCUAACUCUGUGCCAGCAGCCGCCGUAA
rnacentral:rRNA from 1 species